rnacentral:rRNA from 1 species
GACGAACGCUGGCGGCGUGCUUAACACAUGCAAGUCGAACGGAAAGGCCCUGCUUUUUUGGGGUGCUCGAGUGGCGAACGGGUGAGUAACACGUGAGUAACCUGCCCUUUACGUUGUGAUAACUUCAGGAAACUGGGGCUAAUACCUGCUAGGAGCUCCUGCUGCAUGGUGGGGGUUGGAAAGUUUCGGCGGUUGGGGAUGGACUCGCGGCUUAUCAGCUUGUUGGUGGGGUAGUGGCUUACCAAGGCUUUGACGGGUAGCCGGCAUGAGAGGGUAAACGGCCACAUUGCGACUGAGAUACGCCCCAGACUCGUACGGGAGGCAGCAGUGGGGAAUAUUGUACAGUGGGCGGAAGCCUGAUGCAGAAACGCCGCGUGCGGGAUGACGGCCUUCGGGUUGUAAACCGCUGUCGCCUGUGACGAAGCGUGAGUGACGGUAAUGGGUAAAGAAGCACCGGCUAACUACGUG